GAGAUAGGUCCGACGACACCAAAGACUGCUAAUUUUUGCCACCUUGGUUAGACCCCAAGGCUUUCUCG
rnacentral:tRNA from 1 species